CUCCUGAUAGCUCAGUUGGUAGAGCGAUGGACUGUAAUUGUAAAUGAUAAUCCACAGGUCGCGUGUUCGACUCACGCUCGGGAGA
rnacentral:tRNA from 1 species